CAGAUCACCAAGUUCAGCUGCGGCGGGUACGCCGUCGGCAUUUGCUUCAGCCACCUGGUGUUCGACGGCCAGGGCGCGGCGCAGUUCCUCACGGCCGUCGGCGAGAUGGCGCGGGGCCUCCCGGAGCCGUCGACCAAGCCGAUCUGGUCCCGCGACGCCAUCCCCAACCCGCCCAAGCCGCCGCUCGGCCCGCCGCCGUCCUUCACCGCCUUCAACUUCGUCAAGUCCACCGUCGAGAUCUCGCUGGACAGCAUCAAGCGCGUCAAGGACCAGGUCGCCGCCGAGACGGCCCAGAGGUGCUCCACCUUCGACGUGGUCACCGCCAUGAUCUUCAAGUGCCGGGCUGCGGCCAUCAGGUCCGCGCCCGACGCCGAGGUGCGCCUGGGCUUCGCCGCCGGCACCCGCCACCUGCUUACCAACGCGCUGCCGUCGCCCGACGACUACUACGGCAACUGCGUGUACCCUGGCGGCCUCGCCAGGACAAGCCAAGAGGUGACCGAGGCGUCGCUGGUGGAGAUCGUGACGGCGAUCCGGGAGGCCAAGGAUGCGCUGUCGGCGCGGUUCUUGGACUGGCUGGGCGGCGGCGCCAAGGACAGCCACUACAACGUGUCGCUGGACUACGGCACGCUGGUGGUGACCGACUGGAGCCACGUCGGGUUCAACGACGUCGACUACGGCUUCGGCGAGCCCACCUACGUCUUCACAUUGAACGACGAUGUCAACAUUGUGCCGUCCGUGGUGUACCUCAAGCCGCCCAAGCCGAAGCAGGGCAUCCGGCUGGUGCUCCAGUGCGUCGAGGAGCCGCACGCAGCCGUCUUCACCGAUGAGCUUGAGAAGCUCGCCUAA
rnacentral:rRNA from 1 species